rnacentral:misc_RNA from 1 species
AUCUCAUUUCAUUCCUCUCUCAUCUUCCUUACACUUUUUCCUUUUCCAACCUCUUCCUACCCUUUCCAUUCAUCAAAAAUCGCCGUCAUGCCUGAAGAAGAGUGGGUUCAAACGGCAAUCAUGGAUGACUCUGUCGUUGCUGAAUUACUCUUGCGUCUCAGCCAGGCCAAUCCAUCUCCGUCUCCGAUUCCGGCUCCGGCUCCGUUACCGGCUAAGUUGAAGAGGACAGGUUCACCGCUUGAGUGGUCUGUGCGUCGGAGCAGGUCUAAACAAGUUUCUGUUAAUGCUAAGAAGGCGG